GGGAUAAAAAUGAUCCUUUAUUCCCCAAAUUAUUGCAUAUUUGCCAUGUAGAGUGCCCAUGGAUAUUUAGACCUAGAUAUAUUUAUUGCUUGUAUUAUGGACAUGCGAGUUUCAUAUUCAGUCCGUAAAAUAAGGGUGUAAAAGUGAUCCUUCAUUCCCCAAAUUAUUGCAUAUUUGACAUGUAGUUGUUAUACACUUGCACAAUGUUGCUUGCAGGACAUGUGUUGGAUGGUUAUUUUUUUAUUCUGAAAGGAGAUCUUGUAUGUUGCUAUGUUCUUUCAAAUCGUGGAUAACAUUUUGAUCUAAGUGAGCUGGUUCUUUCAAUUGGUGCAUAGCAUGUUCAAUUGAAGUUCAAGCAAACAGAGUAUGAAGUAUGAGAUAGUUUAGAUUCUCACUAAAUAUCAUGGUGAUUCAUUCCAAUUUUAGUAUCUCAUAAUGUGAUGCCCAAUUACUUUUACCUAAUAUAAUUCAUAUAUGAUUAUUUUCUGUAAUGUGUGAAACAUUUUUCAGGGACCAUCUUUCUAAUGUUUUCUUACCAUUCUUUUGACAACUGAUUUCAGUACCACUUGUAAUAAUUUCUUAGAUGAUUUCCUGGACAAUUACACUCCCAUAUUUUUGGAAUUAAUAACACCAAUGAGUUAAUAUAACACUGAUAUUUUUGGUAGGUUUUCUGUCUAUCUGUUACAUAGCAAAUGAGAUCAUUCACCAGCACACUCAAGCAGAAGCAGCAAUAGAAGACACAUAUGUGCGAUGUGCUCAAGAGAAUGACGUCUCUACAAUCUGGAUGUUGCCCAGAUAGCAGAGAUCAUAAAAACAGGAGAAUCAUGGUGUGUGUUCAUGGAGGUGGAAGGGGGGCAUUGUGAGCCGGAUUUGUCACUACUGAGGUGGCGAACAUGGACUGGGGUUGCCGAGUGCAAAUGAAGCUAAAGACAACAUAUAAUUAUUUAGAUCAUUUCUCUCUGUAUACACGGUUGAGUUAAAUUGCGAGUGAAGUGGAUUUCAAUUAUUUUAA